rnacentral:rRNA from 1 species
ACGAACGCUGGCGGCUUGCUUAACACCUGCAAGUCGAACGGUGAAGCGCCUUCCUUUUUGGUGGGUGUGGAUGAGUGGCGAACGGGUGAGUAACACGUGAGUAACCUGCCCCCUUCUUCUGGAUAACCGCAUGAAAGUGUGGCUAAUACGGGAUAUUCUGGGUCUGUCGCAUGAUGGGUCUGGGAAAGAUAUUGUUUCGGUGGGGGAUGGGCUCGCGGCCUAUCAGCUUGUUGGUGGGGUGAUGGCCUACCAAGGCGGUGACGGGUAGCCGGCCUGAGAGGGUGGACGGUCACACUGGGACGGAGACACGGCCCAGACUCCUACGGGAGGCAGCAGUGGGGAAUAUUGCACAAUGGGCGCAAGCCUGAUGCAGCGACGCCGCGUGAGGGAUGGAGGCCUUCGGGUUGUGAACCUCUUUCGCCAGUGAAGCAGGCCUGCCUCGUUUGUGGGUGGGUUGACGGUAGCUGGAUAAGAAGCGCCGGCUAACUACGUG